UGCCAGCAUGACCACCUUGAGAGUCAUGGGCAGAGAUGACACUUUGUACAUGUUAAAAUUUAUAAUACUUAUUUAUAAUUGUACCUAGUGAACUUUUUAAUUCAAUAAAUUCCUAUUUAUAUCAUUGCUUUGAAACAGGCAAUACUUGUUGAGGGGCUAUAAUGUUCAUAAAAUAGUCAGAAAAGCAAAUAAAGGAUAUUUUGAAUAAGCGUUACUGUGAAAUCAUUUCAAAAGCAUGUACUUGUUAUUAAUGACAGGCAGUGCGUUAUGUGCCUCUGGCUUGGCAUCCUGUCUCUGGAGUACAUGUUGUAAAGGAAGAAAAAAACACAAGUGAAACUUGCUCACGUGGUUUGCAGUCACUGAACGUAGAUCAGCUCCUGUGAAAACAAACUCCAUGGGUUUUCUUUGAUGGCAGUUCUGCUCUAAAGAUGGAUAAGGAAGGAGGUUCCAAGAUGGCCGAAUAAGAACACCUCCAGUCUACAGUUCCCAGUGUGAGCGACGCAGAAGAUGGGGGAUUUCUGCAUUUCCAACUGAGAAUACAGGAGCUAUGUGGAGAAUUGAUGGAAGGACAUUCCAGACAGAGAGAACAGCAAACACAAAGGCCUCGAAGUGUGAGCCUGCUUGGCAUAUUUGAGGGAACUUGAGGAUGAAAUA